rnacentral:rRNA from 1 species
UAACAAGGAUUCCCCUAGUAACUGCGAGUGAAGCGGGAAGAGCUCAAAUUUGAAAUCUGGCGGCCUUGCCGUCCGAGUUGUAAUCUGGAGAAGCGUCUUCUGUGUCGGACCGUGUACAAGUCUCUUGGAACAGAGCGUCGUAGAGGGUGAGAAUCCCGUCUUUGACACGGACUGCCGAUGCUCCACGAGGCGCUCUCGAAGAGUCGAGUUGUUUGGGAAUGCAGCUCAAAGUGGGUGGUAAAUUCCAUCUAAAGCUAAAUAUUGGCGAGAGACCGAUAGCGAACAAGUACCGUGAGGGAAAGAUGAAAAGCACUUUGGAAAGAGAGUUAAACAGUACGUGAAAUUGUUGAAAGGGAAGCGCUUGAAGUCAGUCGCGUUGUCCGGAACUCAGCCUCGCUCUUGCCUGGCGUACUUUCCGGUCGACGGGCCAACGUCGAUUUUGGCCGACGGAUAAAGGCAGGUGGAAGGUGGCACCUCCGGGUGUGUUAUAGCCUCCUGUCGCAUGCGUCGGCUGGGAUCGAGGAUCGCAGCACGCCUUUUUGGCCGGGGUUCGCCCACGUAACGUGCUUAGGAUGUUGGCGUAAUGGCUUCAAACGAC